UACAGAGGGUGCAAGCGUUGUUCGGAUUUACUGGGCGUAAAGCGUGUGCAGGCGGGGUAUCAAGUGGUGUAUGAAAUCGCUCGGCUUAACCGGGCGCGGUUAUGCCAGACUGAUACUCUGGAGUGCGGGAGAGGGGCGUGGAAUUCCCGGUGUAGAGGUGAAAUUCGUAGAUAUCGGGAGGAACACCAGUGGCGAAGGCGGCUCUCUGGACAGAUACUGACGCUGAGGCGCGAAAGCCAGGGGAGCGAACGGGAUAGAUGACCCAG
rnacentral:rRNA from 1 species